rnacentral:rRNA from 1 species
UGCGUAGGGUGCAAGCGUUGUCCGGAAUUAUUGGGCGUAAAGAGCUCGUAGGCGGUUUGUUGCGUCGGCUGUGAAAUCCCGAGGCUCAACCUCGGGUCUGCAGUCGAUACGAGCAAACUAGAGUGUUGCAGGGGAGACUGGAAUUCCUGGUGUAGCGGUGAAAUGCGCAGAUAUCAGGAGGAACACCGAUGGCGAAGGCAGGUCUCUGGGCCACUACUGACGCUGAGAAGCGAAAGCAUGGGGAGCGAACAGG